UGGUGUUACUGCGAAGGGGGGACGGAGAAGGCUAUGUUAGCCGGGCGACGGUUGUCCCGGUUUAAGCAUGUAGGCUGAUUGUCCAGGCAAAUCCGGAUAAUCAAGGCUGAGGUGUGAUGACGAGGCACUACGGUGCUGAAGUAACAAAUGCCCUGCUUCCAGGAAAAGCCUCUAAGCAUCAGGUAACAUUAAAUCGUACCCCAAACCGACACAGGUGGUCAGGUAGAGAAUACCAAGGCGCUUGAGAGAACUCGGGUGAAGGAACUA
rnacentral:rRNA from 1 species